rnacentral:lncRNA from 10 species
UCCUGUGGGCCCAGGAGGUCUGGUCCGAGUCUCAGCCCUGACCUUCUGGGACAUGGUGGACAGUCACCUAUCCACCCUCUGCAUCCCCUUGGCCCAUCUGUGCAGUAAGCCUGUUGGAUAAAGACCUUCCAGCUCCUGUGUGCAGCUGGAGGCUGCUGUGGGGACCACACUGAUCCUGGAGAAAAGGGAUGGAGCUGAAAAAGAUGGAAUGCUUGCAGAGCAUGACCUGAGGAGGGAGGAACGUGGUCAACUCACACCUGCCUCUUCCUGCAGCCUCACUUCUACCUGCCCCCAUCAUAAGGGCACUGAGCCCUUCCCAGGCUGGAUACUAAGCACAAAGCCCAUAGCACUGGGCUCUGAUGGCUGCUCCACUGGGUUACAGAAUCACAGCCCUCAUGAUCAUUCUCAGUGAGGGCUCUGGAUUGAGAGGGAGGCCCUGGGAGGAGAGAAGGGGGCAGAGUCUUCCCUACCAGGUUUCUAC